rnacentral:lncRNA from 1 species
AUCUCCCCUUUCAAUGUUAAUUUCCAUAGGAAACUAAAAAUGCUGAUGUUGUGUAUAUAAAGGGCAUAAUGCUAUAGAUUAGAACUAAAACAUUUUCUGUUGCAAUUAGUUUGAGGUUAAAUCUAAGUUUGACUGGACUAUAAUAUCUGGAAAAGAGAGGUCACGGAUCUGAUAUGGUAUGAAUUACUGACUGCAUAACAUGUAUCGUAAAAGGACCACGGUCAAAUUUUAAUUUUAACAGGAGAGGUAUUGAUAGAAAAACUUUCACGA